AUGCUUAAUCUGUCUCUGAGCUGUGAGGAGGACGACAGCUCUGCUGGAUGGACUCUGAGGAGAAACACAAGCAAAGAACAGAGGACUCAGUGUGGAGAUGGGUGGGGAACAUCAGCUGGUUCUUCCUGUAACAUCAGCUACAUGGCUGUGUCUGACAGAGGAGUUUACUGGUGUGAGUCCAGAGAGGGUCCCAUCAGUAACAUGGUUAACCUGACAGUCACUGGUGGAUCAGUGAUCCUGCAGAGUCCUGUCCUCCCUGUGAUGGAGGGAGAUGACGUCACUCUGCUCUGUAAAACAAAGACCACUCCCUCCAACCUCCCAGCUGCUUUCUAUAAAGAUGGCUCCCUCAUCAGGAAGCAGCCUACAGGUCACAUGACCAUCCAGCAUGUUUCCAGGUCUGAUGAAGGCCUCUACAAGUGUGACAUCAGCGGUCAUGGAGAGUCUCCAUCCAGCUGGAUCACUGUCACAGACAAACACACCACCACACCUCCACCUACAUCCACACCUCCACCUACAUCCACCUCUCCUCCUGAUUUCUCCUGUGUCCCUCUAUCACUCUUUUCUCUUGUCCUCACUGUGUCAGUUAUUAGUUCAGUCUGUGUUUUGGUUCUACUGGUGUUACUGGUUCUGCUGGUGAGACGACAAGUUCAAAGGAAAACUGAAUGGGAGGAGUUGGAGAUGAUGACAUCACGUACAGCAAAGGCUCAAGUCAUCAACAACAGCCAAUCAGAGGAAGCAGAGACUUUAAACCAGAGCCAGACGUCGUCUACUCCUCACUGAACUAGUCCACCAGUCCAACCACUGACGUCCAGCUGCUGGUCUCUAACUGGUCCACACAGCCACACAAUGUUGAUUUGCAUAUAUUCUGUAGUGUCUUCUCAUUAUAAUAUACACUCUCAGUGUUUGUAUGAGUGUAUAUAGUAUAACUAAAAUAUAAAUGUCAUCUGCACAGCAGUGUCCUGCCUUCUCUGCAGCAUCAAUAAACUUUGCUGUCACGUGUUGU